rnacentral:rRNA from 1 species
UACGAAGGGGGCUGGCGUUGCUCGGAAUCACUGGGCGUAAAGCGCACGUAGGCGGCUUUUUAAGUCAGGGGUGAAAUCCUGGAGCUUACUACUCAGAACUGCCUUUGAUACUGAAGAACUUGAGUUCCGGGAGAGGUGAGUGGAACUGCGAGUGUAGAGGUGAAAUUCGUAGAUAUUCGCAAGAACACCAGUGGCGAAGGCGGCUCACUGGUCCCGGA